rnacentral:misc_RNA from 1 species
AUGCAGACGACAAUAGCAGACGACACGUACUGUACUCAUCGCGCGAUUUUUCAUACGGGGUGCGCUGCCCGUCUAGCAGACGACGUCAGAACAAAACAACAGCACAGCAGAAGCCUCGCCUCGAUCGCGCUCGCGCAGCACAGCAGCCAUCACCCCGUGUCAUCUCUGUUUUGAUGCGGAUAGCGUCACCAAAUUAUGUAUUGAUUCGGGCCAUGGGGUAGAGCCGCACGCUAUUCUCUCCUUCUCUUCAUGUAACCUUCAAACCCCCAUCCAGGCUAUGAAGAGGUCAAAAGAUAGAGUUGCUAUGCUCUCUCGCUGCGUUGGUGAAGCAGCACUCCUGCAAACUCUACCAUGCAAUUCAGAUAGUGUCACUUGUUGUGACUUUGGUGUCAAUUUCCUUUUUGCAGCUGGCUCGAGUGAGAAGAUUGUACGAGUAUGGGAAUGGGUCAAAGGCUCUGGCUUUGUCGAAGCGUCUUUUUCCCAUUUAGCUGGUCACCGAUAUGCCAUUACAAGCGUGCGUUUUUCUCCUUUGGGAACUAUGUUGGCAAGCUCCUCAUCAGAUGGAAGUACAAUGUUGUGGAACACAAGGACUGGCGUUCGUAUUCAUACAUUUGUUCAAACCAAUGGUUGUGCUGUACGCCUUAGUAUUUUUGCUCCAAACUCAUCAUUCCUUGUAAGUGCUGGUGAUGAUGGUGGAAUAUGUGUUUGGGACAUUUUGAGGCGUGCGUUAGUAAGGUCUGUUCAAGCUCAUGAUGCUACUAUUCAAGCUAUGUCAUUCAGUCCUGAUUGUAAAUAUCUCUUAACAUCUGACACUGUUGGUAUCCUUAAGUUGUGGAAAGAUUUGAUUGAACCCACUAGUGAUUUGGUUGAGGCUCCAAGUACAUCAGACUCUACUGAUACCCUAGUUUCUAUUGUGGAGGAUGCACAUGAUCUUGGAGUCACCGGGUCAGAUUUUGCUUCAAUUCAAGAAACGCCAGCUGACAAUGUCCUUGCGACCCGUUACACAUUGGCAACUUGUGGGAACAAUCAUUUGGUAAAGGUAUGGUCAUUUGUCGUAGUGCAUCCCUCUAAACAGUGGAACCCUCCGCACUCUCCAGCAUCAGGAUCUGGAAGGCAGAGUCUGGUUCCAACCCCCGAACUGGGAAGUCCAGUCAGCCCAAACAGCCUGGGUCCUCGAAGAGAGAAUAGUUUUAGGAUAAGGGAUAAGCGAGAGAGCAACGAAAGUCUCCGGAGAAGAGGAAGCAGUAUCAGGAGGCGACACAAGCAUUGUCAAGUUUCUCUCAAACUGACUUUGGAGGGGCAUGGAUCUGAUGUGACAUGCGUCAGAUUUAAUGCAAGUGCCACUCGCCUUGCAUCUUCUUCACUUGAUAAAACCGUACGAUUGUGGGAAAUUCCAAGUGGCACCUGUCUUCGGGUGUUGGAAGGUCAUACAAGAUAUGUAGCUUGCUGUGCAUUUUCCCGUGAUGGAUCUCUGCUUGCAUCUGGCUCAAAUGAUAAAACUAUCUUAAUGUGGGAUGUGAAAGGAAAACUGUCUUUGGAAACUGACCUGGCACCAUCCUUGAGCGCUUUUCGUGAUAAAUUAUCAGGAUCUAGCUUUGACAGUACUUGCGGACCUCCUGAUGCGUCAGUUCUGGAGGGAGGUCCAAAAUCCUCUGAGUCUCAUGCCACACUCCGUGAAGUCCAACUCUUGCAACGAAUUGAAUGUCCACAUGGAGCAGUCAACACUUGUGAUUUCUUUGGCAAUAACUUGUUGGCCUUCGGAGGAGGCGAUAAAAUGGUUCAUAUUUACUCCAAAAUUGAUGGAGGUCUGAGGUUUCAAGAAGCUGAAAAUGCUUCUCCCAUUGAAGCUCAUGCCUUUGCUGUGAACCAGGUAGAGUUUUCUCCUUGUGGAAAAUAUGUAGCCUCAUGCUCUGCUGAUGGAUGUGCAGUUCUCUGGGAUACUGAGACUGGCAAACGGGUGCCUGGUAAUUUUGGGACUGGUCGCAGUGCUAUUAGAACUUGUCGAUUUUCCCCUGAUGGCAAACUUCUUAUUUGUGCUGGUGAUGAUCAGACAACCAGUGCAUGGCGAACGGACACUGGAGAACUUUUCAUGUCUGUAGAAGGGCACAGUGAAGCUGUUACUGCUUUGGCCAUCUCCCCAGACAGCCAGUUUUUAGCCACCGCCUGCAGUGCUGGGCAUGUUCGAGGCUGGGCCAUUGUGUCAAUUUGGGACCAAUGUUUAAUGUUGCAGGAAGAUGCCCAUGAUCUGGGCGUUCAAAGCUGUGAUUUUUCUCCAUCAGCUGGAAUGUAUGGUUCUGAGAGCUAUUUGUUGGCAACUUGUGGCAAUGAUUCUAUGGUAAAAUUAUGGAAAGUGCCCAAGGACAUUUGUGCUCCACCCACACCAACUUCUCUGUUGCUGAGUGCACCGCCAGCCCCAGCCAGCCCGCUACGUUCUCCCAAACCCCCUCCAGGAGCAAAACUUGUGCGCACCUUUGUUGGUCAUGGGGGAAACGUAAUGUGUGUACGUUUCACUCCUGAUUCUGGGGAAUUUUUAGUUUCUACAGCCUCUGAUUCUACAGCUCGCAUAUGGAGUGUUCACUUGGGAGAUUGUCUUUUUGUGCUGGAAGGACACAAAAAACAUGUAACGUCAUGCACAUUUUCAUCUGAUUCUUCUCUUCUAGCUACAGUUGUUUUCUAUUUGUUGGGCAUGCUUUAUCAUCUUUUGCUUCAACCCUUUUUUUAAGAGACUUCUCGGAUCUCUUGACAAAUCUCUGAUUUUGUGGCUCCUUCCUGAUCAUCUUGUGUACCAGAGUGUCGCUGCUUCUCGUUUACGUGGUCAACCACUUUAUGCUCUCGACUGGACUCCUGAUGAUGUAAUAUCGUGGCUAAAGCGUU